UACGGGGGGGGGCAAGCGUUGUUCGGAAUUACUGGGCGUAAAGGGCUCGUAGGUGGCCAACUAAGUCGGACGUGAAAUCCCUCAGCUUAACUGGGGAACUGCGUCCGAUACUGGAUGGCUUGAGUUUGGGAGAGGGAUGCGGAAUUCCAGGUGUAGCGGUGAAAUGCGUAGAUAUCUGGAGGAACACCGGUGGCGAAGGCGGCAUCCUGGACCAACACUGACACUGAGGAGCGAAAGCGUGGGGAGCGAACAGG
rnacentral:rRNA from 1 species